AGUGGGGAAUAUUGCACAAUGGGCGCAAGCCUGAUGCAGCCAUGCCGCGUGUAUGAAGAAGGCCUUCGGGUUGUAAAGUACUUUCAGCAGUGAGGAAGGUUCAUACGUUAAUAGCGUAUGGAUUUGACGUUAGCUGCAGAAGAAGCACCGGCUAACUCCGUGCCAGCAGCCGCGGUAAUACGGAGGGUGCGAGCGUUAAUCGGAAUUACUGGGCGUAAAGCGCAUGCAGGUGGUUUGUUAAGUCAGAUGUGAAAGCCCGGGGCUCAACCUCGGAAUUGCAUUUGAAACUGGCAGACUAGAGUACUGUAGAGGGGGGUAGAAUUUCAGGUGUAGCGGUGAAAUGCGUAGAGAUCUGAAGGAAUACCGGUGGCGAAGGCGGCCCCCUGGACAGAUACUGACACUCAGAUGCGAAAGCGUGGGGAGCAAA
rnacentral:rRNA from 1 species